rnacentral:rRNA from 1 species
UACGUAGGGUCCGAGCGUUGUCCGGAAUUAUUGGGCGUAAAGGGCUCGUAGGCGGUCCGUCACGUCGGGAGUGAAAACUCAGGGCUCAACCCUGAGCGUGCUUCCGAUACGGGCGGACUAGAGGUAUGCAGGGGAGAACGGAAUUCCUGGUGUAGCGGUGGAAUGCGCAGAUAUCAGGAGGAACACCGGUGGCGAAGGCGGCGUCCUGGACCAAUACUGACACUGAGGAGCGAAAGCCAGGGGAGCAAACGGG